AUUGAACGCUGGCGGCAGGCCUAACACAUGCAAGUCGAACGAGUGGCGGACGGGUGAGUAAUGUCUGGGAAACUGCCUGAUGGAGGGGGAUAACUACUGGAAACGGUCGCUAAUACCGCAUACUAUCGGAUGUGCCCAGAUGGGAUUAGCUAGUAGGUGGGGUAAAGGCUCCACUAGGCGACGAUCCCUAGCUGGUCUGAGAGGAUGAACAGCCACACUGGAACUGAGACACGGCCCAGACUCCUACGGGAGGCAGCAGUGGGGAAUAUUGCACAAUGGGCGCAAGCCUGAUGCAGCCAUGCCGCGUGUAUGAAGAAGGCCUUCGGGUGGUAAAGUACUUUCAGCGGGGAGGCGUUACCCGCAGAAGAAGCACCGGCUAACUCCGUGCCAGCAGCCGCGGUAAUAC
rnacentral:rRNA from 1 species